rnacentral:rRNA from 1 species
GGUUAAGCGACUAAGCGUACACGGUGGAUGCCCUGGCAGUCAGAGGCGAUGAAGGGCGUGCUAAUCUGCGAUAAGCGCCGGUAAGGUGAUAUGAACCGUUAUAACCGGCGAUACCCGAAUGGGGAAACCCAGUGUGACUCGUCACACUAUCAUUAACUGAAUCCAUAGGUUAAUGAGGCGAACCGGGGGAACUGAAACAUCUAAGUACCCCGAGGAAAAGAAAUCAACCGAGAUUCCCCCAGUAGCGGCGAGCGAACGGGGAGGAGCCCAGAGCCUGAAUCAGCAUGUGUGUUAGUGGAAGCGUCUGGAAAGGCGCGCGAUACAGGGUGACAGCCCCGUACACAAAAGCGCAUGUGCUGUGAGCUCGAUGAGUAG